CCUACGGGUGGCAGCAGUGGGGAAUAUUGGGCAAUGGGCGCAAGCCUGACCCAGCAACGCCGCGUGAAGGAAGAAGGCCCUCGGGUUGUAAACUUCUUUUUUCAGGGACGAAGAAGUGACGGUACCUGAUGAAUAAGCCACGGCUAACUACGUGCCAGCAGCCGCGGUAAUACGGAGGUUGCAAGCGUUAUCCGGAUUUACUGGGUGUAAAGGGCGUGUAGGGGGGGAAGCAAGUCAGAUGUGAAAUUCCAGGGCUCAACCCUGGAACUGCAUUUGAAACUGUUUUGCUUGAGUGAUGGAGAGGCAGGCGGAAUGCCGGGUGUAGCGGUGAAAUGCGUAGAUAUACGGAAGAACACCAGUGGCGAAGGCAGCCUGCUAGACAUUAACUGACGCUGAGGCGCGAAAGCGUGGGGAGCAAACAGGAUUAGAUACCCGGGUAGUC
rnacentral:rRNA from 1 species